rnacentral:rRNA from 1 species
UACACUCCUGCGGGAGGCAGCAGUGGGGAAUAUUGGACAAUGGGCGCAAGCCUGAUCCAGCCAUGCCGCGUGAGUGAUGAAGGCCCUAGGGUUGUAAAGCUCUUUCACCGGUGAAGAUAAUGACGGUAACCGGAGAAGAAGCCCCGGCUAACUUCGUGCCAGCAGCCGCGGUAAUACGAAGGGGGCUAGCGUUGUUCGGAUUUACUGGGCGUAAAGCGCACGUAGGCGGACUAUUAAGUCAGGGGUGAAAUCCCGGGGCUCAACCCCGGAACUGCCUUUGAUACUGGUAGUCUUGAGUUCGAGAGAGGUGAGUGGAAUUCCGAGUGUAGAGGUGAAAUUCGUAGAUAUUCGGAGGAACACCAGUGGCGAAGGCGGCUCACUGGCUCGAUACUGACGCUGAGGUGCGAAAGCGUGGGGAGCAAACAGGAUUAGAAACCCCAGUAGUCCCAUGA